CCUACGGGAGGCAGCAGUGAGGGAUAUUGGUCAAUGGGGGAAACCCUGAACCAGCAAAGCCGCGUGAGGGAAGACGGUUUUCGGAUUGUAAACCUCUGUCCUCAGUGAAGAUAAUGACGGUAGCAGAGGAGGAAGCUCCGGCUAACUACGUGCCAGCAGGCGCGGUAAUACGUAGGGAGCCAGGGUUGUACGGAUUUACUGGGUGUAAAGGGUGCGUAGGCGGCCCAGCAAGUCAGAAGUGAAAGCUAUGGGCUUAACCCGUGAAUUGCGUUUGAAACGGGAGGGCUUGAGUGAAGUAGAGGCAGGCGGAAUUCCCGGUGUAGCGGUGAAAUGCGUAGAGAUCGGGAGGAACACCAGUUGCGAAGGCGGCCUGCUGGGCUUUCACUGACGCUGAAGUACGAAAGCGUGGGUAACAAACAGGAUUAGAUACCCGAGUAGUC
rnacentral:rRNA from 1 species